GAUGAACGCUGGCGGCGUGCUUAACACAUGCAAGUCGAACGGAAAGGCCCAAGCUUGCUUGGGUACUCGAGUGGCGAACGGGUGAGUAACACGUGGGUGAUCUGCCCUGCACUUCGGGAUAAGCCUGGGAAACUGGGUCUAAUACCGGAUAGGACCACAUUUUGGAUGGUGUGGUGGAAAGUUUUUCGGUGUGGGAUGAGCUCGCGGCCUAUCAGCUUGUUGGUGGGGUAAUGGCCUACCAAGGCGUCGACGGGUAGCCGGCCUGAGAGGGUGUACGGCCACAUUGGGACUGAGAGACGGCCCAGACUCCUACGGGAGGCAGCAGUGGGGAAUAUUGCACAAUGGGCGCAAGCCUGAUGCAGCGACGCCGCGUGGGGGAUGACGGCCUUCGGGUUGUAAACGCCUUUCGCUAGGGACGAAGCGUUAUGUGACGGUACCUGGAGAAGAAGCACCGGCUAACUACGUG
rnacentral:rRNA from 1 species